rnacentral:lncRNA from 1 species
CUCUAUCCAUUCAUCUGUUGAUGGCACCUGGGCUGGUUCCAUAGCUUGGCUAUUGUGAAUUACAUGGUUAUAAACAUUGAUGUACCUGUAUUACUAUAGUAUACUGUUAGUUCUUUUGGAUAAAUACCACUGAGUGAUAUCCCCAACCUUGUUGUUUUUUUCUUUUUUUUAGUAAAUAUUUUCAAAACCACUGGGGUACAUGAUGGAACAAAUAAGCUUCAGAAAUGGAAGGCCUGGGUAGCUCCUGGGUCCUCAGCAAAGGAGAUCUGGGGGCUUUCCUUUCAUGCUUUUGUUGAAAUUAUGUUCCCUAGGCUCAGUUUAUUCAUCUCUUAUUUCAAGUUCUCCUGAGAAAAUAUGAUUGACCUGCUUGGAUCAAUAAUCUACCCACCUCUGGCUCAAUCUGCCCUGUCUGAGAGUGCAGGCUAGACAGAAGGCAGUAGGAGAACUGAAGGUAACAAAAGGCAUCUACUACAGGAUGUUCAAGCUCCUCGAGAUUUAUCCCUCAUUCCUCAUAUUUUCUUGAUAACUGGAACUGAAAAAUAAUUUUUGACUACAUUACUAAGAAUCAUGAGCUAUCACUAUUUCUUAUUUAAAAAAUAACACUGAAUUGAUGGCAAUUUCACUAAUUAUGCAAAAUAAUGCAUGUACAAAUACUUAUAUUGUUUCUUCAAAUGUAUAAACCCUUUAGUUUUUAUGAAGGUUAUUUAAGUAAUAUUUUUAAUCUCAGGUUAAAUGUAUUAUGUUACUAGUACUGAUUUAAUUUUUAUUUUGUACAUAACUACUUCUUGGCAUCUAAGAUAAAAAAAAAAUCGAGGCUGAAUUGAUUUUAAGUUGUAAGUCUGAAUACCUUACAGGUGUUUAAGCUAUACUUUACCUUUUUCUGAAAUCUGAUUAUCUGCUAUCCCUCAACCCCAAACUGAAUUAGACAGUACCUUUCUUCAGUUACAGCACUCACUCUGCCAGGCUACCGUUCAUGGCUAUGGGUAAGGAACUUAAUCUCAAUGUAUCUGCUUUGCU